ensembl:lncRNA
GGAGACUCGGUCACGCUCCCCACUUAGAAGGAGACCCCUGCACACUCAGGGACAUACACAUUGACCCAAACACACACGGAGGAGGCAGCCCCUGUCACACUCAGGCACCCAGAGCCCCGACCCACCUCAAGGCCGGCCCCACGUGAUCACACCAGACACAGAUGUGACCCCCUCUGACAUCAGUGCAUGUCACCUCAUACAACCCAGCACACUGGCCACUUUCUGUCGCCAACCACAGGCUUUGUCACCCCCUGGACAGGUGGUGACAGACACCCUGUCACACUGGCUGACUCACACAGCAGUGGGAACUGGUGCACACAUGACAUGCCCCCCCACCUCCGUCAAGGGAGCUGUCUGAGCCGGGCUGCCUGUGAGGCCAAGGGGAUUCAGGGGUUGGUUCUAUUUGCAGGAAACAUGGAUAUUUACAAUGCUUUAUUUUUAAACCUUGCUUGUUCCAGACUGGGCUACUGUGGGGCGGGAUGGGUGGAACCCAGCCUUGAACCUCCCACGCUAAAAGUCAGCCCGUGGCUAGGGACUGUGGUCUUUCAGUGCACGGAUUGGGAGGGUGGUGAAGCUCAGUGAAGAGCAGGGGGCACUCAAAGGCAUGUGACCUCUGUGACUGAUUUGAGCUGGCUGGCACCAAGGUCAAGGCUGAGGCAGGGGCAGCCAGGCCCAGACACCUGCCCAUCGCCACCUCCUCUCCCAUGCUUACUGGGAAAUUAGUUCUGCUCCUUUACUGACUCCUCCACAGCACAUCUCCGCCAGGUAGCUCCAGCACAGGGUUGCUGAUGCCCAGCCAAGAAGCUCCCUGAAACCAGGCUCUGGGGCUCUGGAUUCAUCAAAGUUAUCCUCACCCUGAGCUGGACAAUGCUGAGGGCAGAGAGAGGCCUCGGCUCCUACCGAGAACACAGCUGGACACCCACUCCUGGCCGAGGGUCAGAGCAAGGGCCCCAGGGACCAGGGAAGGAGCCAGCCGGACUGGCCAGGAUGGGGACCCAUGAGGCCUGCGGGCGGCAGGAAGGAGCAGGCUGAUUCCAGGAGAGGAUGAUGGAAAAAGCAGGGCCGCCAGCUGUCCCUGCAGGGCCAUUUGCAGCCCCAGGUCACAGGUCGAAGGCCCUGUCCCUGGGGGUCCCAGGUCGGCAAUGCAGGAAAGCCAUCAGGCUGGGGGGCGGGGCAGAGGGCUGGGGAGGCAAAG